UACAGAGGUCUCAAGCGUUGUUCGGAUUCAUUGGGCGUAAAGGGUGCGUAGGUGGCGCUGUAAGUCGGGUGUGAAAUUUCGGAGCUUAACUCCGAAACUGCAUUCGAUACUGCGGUGCUUGAGGACUGGAGAGGAGACUGGAAUUCAUGGUGUAGCAGUGAAAUGCGUAGAGAUCAUGAGGAAGACCAGUGGCGAAGGCGGGUCUCUGGACAGUUCCUGACACUGACACACGAAGGCCAGGGGAGCAAACGGG
rnacentral:rRNA from 1 species